rnacentral:rRNA from 1 species
CAGUCGCCGCGGUAAUACGGAGGGUGCAAGCGUUAAUCGGAAUUACUGGGCGUAAAGCGCACGCAGGCGGUCUGACAAGUCAGAUGUGAAAUCCCCGGGCUUAACCUGGGAACUGCAUUUGAAACUGUCAGGCUGGAGUCUUGUAGAGGGGGGUGGAAUUCCAGGUGUAGCGGUGAAAUGCGUAGAGAUCUGGAGGAAUACCGGUGGCGAAGGCGGCCCCCUGGACAAAGACUGACGCUCAGGUGCGAAAGCGUGGGGAGCAAACAGGAUUAGAUACCCCAGUAGUCCCUGUCUUUUAUAC